rnacentral:rRNA from 1 species
CUACCUCAUACAGGGGGAUAACAGUUGGAAACGACCGCUAAUACCGCAUAACCCGCUAGUAUCGCAUGAUACGGACGGAAAAGAUUUAUCGGUAUGAGAUGGACCCGCGUCUGAUUAGCCAGUUGGCAGGGUAACGGCCUACCAAAGCAACGAUCAGUAGCCGGCCUGAGAGGGUGAACGGCCACAUUGGGACUGAGACACGGCCCAAACUCCUACGGGAGGCAGCAGUGGGGAAUAUUGCACAAUGGGGGAAACCCUGAUGCAGCGACGCCGCGUGAGUGAGGAAGUAUUUCGGUAUGUAAAGCUCUAUCAGCAGGGAAGAAAAUGACGGUACCUGACUAAGAAGCCCCGGUUAACUACGUGCCAGCAGCCGCGGUAAUACGUAGGGGGCAAGCGUUAUCCGGAUUUACUGGGUGUAAAGGGAGCGUAGACGGUUAAUCAAGUCAGAAGUGAAAACCCAGGGCUCAACCUUGGGACUGCUUUUGAAACUGAGUAGCUAGAGUGCAGGAGAGGUAAGCGGAAUUCCUAGUGUAGCGGUGAAAUGCGUAGAUAUUAGGAGGAACACCAGUGGCGAAGGCGGCUUACUGGACUGUAACUGACGUUGAGGCUCGAAAGCGUGGGGAGCAAACAGGAUUAGAUACCCUGGUAGUCCACGCCGUAAAC